CAAGUCGAACGGCAGCACGGAGCUUGCUCUGGUGGCGAGUGGCGAACGGGUGAGUAAUAUAUCGGAACGUACCCUGGAGUGGGGGAUAACGUAGCGAAAGUUACGCUAAUACCGCAUACGAUCUAAGGAUGAAAGCAGGGGACCGCAAGGCCUUGUGCUCCUGGAGCGGCCGAUAUCUGAUUAGCUAGUUGGUAGGGUAAAAGCCUACCAAGGCAUCGAUCAGUAGCUGGUCUGAGAGGACGACCAGCCACACUGGAACUGAGACACGGUCCAGACUCCUACGGGAGGCAGCAGUGGGGAAUUUUGGACAAUGGGCGCAAGCCUGAUCCAGCAAUGCCGCGUGAGUGAAGAAGGCCUUCGGGUUGUAAAGCUCUUUUGUCAGGGAAGAAAAGGGUCUGGCUAAUAUCUAGGCCUCAUGACGGUACCUGAAGAAUAAGCACCGGCUAACUACGUGCCAGCAGCCGCGGU
rnacentral:rRNA from 1 species